rnacentral:rRNA from 1 species
UACCAGCACCCCGAGUGGUCGGGACGAUUAUUGGGCCUAAAGCAUCCGUAGCCGGUUCUACAAGUCUUCCGUUAAAUCCACCUGCUUAACAGAUGGGCUGCGGAGGAUACUAUAGAGCUAGGAGGCGGGAGAGGCAAGCGGUACUUAGUGGGUAGGGGUAAAAUCCGUUGAUCCCUUGAAGACCACCAGUGGCGAAGGCGGCUUGCCAGAACGCACUCGACGGUGAGGGAUGAAAGCUGGGGGAGCAAACCGG